UACGUAGGGUGCAAGCGUUGUCCGGAAUUAUUGGGCGUAAAGAGCUCGUAGGCGGUUUGUCGCGUCUGCUGUGAAAACCUGAGGCUCAACCUCAGACCUGCAGUGGGUACGGGCAGACUAGAGUGCGGUAGGGGAGAUGGGAAUUCCUGGUGUAGCGGUGGAAUGCGCAGAUAUCAGGAGGAACACCAAUGGCGAAGGCAGGUCUCUGGGCCAAUACUGACACUGAGGAGCGAAAGUCUGGGGAGCGAACAGG
rnacentral:rRNA from 1 species